AUAGGUCUGAGGUGGAAGUGUGGCGACACAUGGAGCUGACAGAUACUAAUCGAUCGAGGACUUAACCUA
rnacentral:rRNA from 1 species